UGGUAAAUCAAUGCAACUGAACGUACCUAGUAUGUGUUUAACACUACAUGAUGUUUUAUACCUAUUAUAGUAACAGAAGGAACUUACCUUUACCUUAUAGUACCUGCCACAAUACUGCUUAAUACGUAUAAUUGUGCAGGCCUCACAGAUUAAAUGUGCAAGCUCUUUAAACUUGUAUUGUAUAAGUAACCAAUAAUAAGACAGGUUUCCAAUUCUAGACAAUACUAAUUCUAAG